rnacentral:rRNA from 1 species
UACAGAGGGUGCGAGCGUUGUCCAGAAUCACUGGGCGUAAAGGGCGCGUAGGUGGUGACCUAAGCGUGCGGUGAAAGCCCGAGGCUCAACCUCGGGUCGGCCGUGCGAACUGGGUCACUGGAGCAGAAUAGAGGCAGGUGGAAUUCCGGGUGUAGCGGUGGAAUGCGUAGAGAUCCGGAAGAACACCGGUGGCGAAGGCGGCCUGCUGGGUUCCGGCUGACACUGAGGCGCGACAGCGUGGGGAGCAAACAGG